rnacentral:rRNA from 1 species
AUUGAACGCUGGCGGCAGGCCUAACACAUGCAAGUCGAACGAGUGGCGGACGGGUGAGUAAUGUCUGGGAAACUGCCUGAUGGAGGGGGAUAACUACUGGAAACGGUAGCUAAUACCGCCUACCAUCGGAUGUGCCCAGAUGGGUUUAGCUAGUAGGUGGGGUAACGGCUCACCUAGGCGACGAUCCCUAGCUGGUCUGAGAUGAUGACCAACCACACUGAAACUGAGACCCGAUCCAGACUCCUACGAGGGGCGGUAGUGGGGAAUAUUGCACAAAGGGCGCAAGCCUGAUGCAGCCAUGCCGCGUGGAUUAAGAAGGCCUUCGGGUCAUAAAGUACUUUCAGCGGGGAGGCGGUACCCGCCGAAGAAGCACCGGCUAACUCCGUGCCAGCAGCCGCGGUAAUUC